rnacentral:rRNA from 1 species
AUUGAACGCUGGCGGCAUGCCUUACACAUGCAAGUCGGACGGUAACAGGUCUUCGGAUGCUGACGAGUGGCGAACGGGUAAGUAAUACAUCGGAACGUGCCUAGUAGUGGGGGAUAACUACUCGAAAGAGUGGCUAAUACCGCAUGAGAUCUACGGAUGAAAGCAGGGGAUCGCAAGACCUUGUGCUACUAGAGCGGCCGAUGGCAGAUUAGGUAGUUGGUGGGAUAAAAGCUUACCAAGCCGACGAUCUGUAGCUGGUCUGAGAGGACGAUCAGGCACACUGGGACUGAGAAACGGCCCAGACUCCUACGGGAGGCAGCAGUGGGGAAUUUUGGACAAUGGGCGCAAGCCUGAUCCAGCAAUGCCGCGUGCAGGAUGAAGGCCUUCGGGUUGUAAACUGCUUUUGUACGGAACGAAAAGCCCCGGGUUAAUACCCUGGGGUCAUGACGGUACCGUAAGAAUAAGCACCGGCUAACUACGUGCCAGCAGCCGCAGUAA